CCUACGGGAGGCAGCAGUGAGGAAUAUUGGUCAAUGGACGAGAGUCUGAACCAGCCAAGUAGCGUGAAGGAUGACUGCCCUAUGGGUUGUAAACUUCUUUUAUAUGGGAAUAAAACGUUCCACGGGUUGGAUUUUGUAUGUACCAUAUGAAUAAGGAUCGGCUAACUCCGUGCCAGCAGCCGCGGUAAUACGGAGGAGCCGAGCGUUAUCCGGAUUUAUUGGGUUUAAAGGGAGCGUAGGUGGAUUGUUAAGUCAGUUGUGAAAGUUUGCGGCUCAACCGUAAAAUUGCAGUUGAAACUGGCAGUCUUGAGUACAGUAGAGGUGGGCGGAAUUCGUGGUGUAGCGGUGAAAUGCUUAGAUAUCACGAAGAACUCCGAUUGCGAAGGCAGUUCACUGGACUGCAACUGACACUGAGGCUCGAAAGUGUGGGUAUCAAACAGGAUUAGAUACCCCUGUAGUC
rnacentral:rRNA from 1 species